rnacentral:rRNA from 5 species
GGGACCCGUCUUGAAACACGGACCAAGGAGUCUAGCAUGUGCGCGAGUCAUUGGGACUCUAACGAAACCUAAAGGCGUAAUGAAAGUGAAGGUUCGCCUAGCGCGAACCGAGGGAGGAUGGACGGUCGAUCGUGGCCGUCCCGCACUCCCUGGGCGUCUCGUUCUCAUCGCGAGAAGAGGCGCACCAAGAGCGUACACGCUGGGACCCGAAAGAUGGUGAACUAUGCCUGGUCAGGACGAAGUCAGGGGAAACCCUGAUGGAGGUCCGUAGCGAUUCUGACGUGCAAAUCGAUCGUCGGAACUGGGUAUAGGGGCGAAAGACUAAUCGAACCAUCUAGUAGCUGGUUCCCUCCGAAGUUUCCCUCAGGAUAGCUGGCGCUCGCUUCUCGCGAGUCUCAUUCGGUAAAGCGAAUGAUUAGAGGCAUUGGGGUCGAAACGGCCUCAACCUAUUCUCAAACUUUAAAUGGGUGAGAUCUCCGGCUUGCUUGAACUGUGAAGCCGCGAGAUAUCGGAUCAGAGUGCCAAGUGGGCCACUUUUGGUAAGCAGAACUGGCGCUGUGGGAUGAACCAAACGCCGAGUUAAAGCGCCUAAAUCGACGCUUAUGGGAUACCAUGAAAGGCGUUGGUAACUUAAGACAGCAGGACGGUGGCCAUGGAAGUCGGAA